UCGCCGUGGAGGCCAUCCGCGACCUCCCGCUCGCCUAUAUCUCCCUCCCUCUCCAACCCUAGGACGCCCCUCUACUUUCCCCUUCCCCUCACUCGCCCCCAUCCCUCUCUGGCCUUGCUCCCCCCAGAUCCCCUUCUCUGCCCGCUCACCGAAAGGCCUCACCGCUGUAACCGACGCGGCCACCAUCGUCCUCCCGCCAUUCCAAGGAGUCCGGUGGCCUCCCUACGCUCACCCUCAUCGACCUCGCCUUUGGAUCGAGCCGCUGGAGCACCAACGACGUCGCCUCGGCCUCUUCUUCCUCGGCGUCGUCCGCCACUGCCGCCUUCGAUUCGGUCAGCUCCGGCUCCGGCAAGCCGUCCCCGAGCCCACUGUGCACCCCUACGGGAUCACUGUGAGCCCCGCUCCUCCUUCCCCCUCUCUCUCCUGCCGCCCGUAGCCCGAUCCCCACGUCGCACCACCAUUACCGGAGCUCAGCUCCGCCGCCGUGCUCCCUGUCGUCGCUGCCGUCGUGGUCGUGGCCACCUAAGCACAGGAACGUGCUCAUGCCACUCCUUUGGUGCGGCCAAAGCCGUUCAUUCGCCCGCACACGCGUCGUAGCACCGUCCCCGUCGACACCCAACUCCGGCCGCCGCCUCUGCUAGGUGCCGUCGUCGUUGUACGCAACCUGCGCCGCCGCUGCUUGCUUCGUUAGAUGCACGCCGUUGGGCCUGUUCGUCCGUCGUCCGUUUGGUCGCCGGAGAUGCCCGUUCGAUCCUCCCGCGCCGCCCGUGACGAACGCGCCUGCCACUCCCGCGCUCACCUCCUGCGCUGCUGCAGCCCGCCGCCACUUGCUGCCGUUGCCCUGCACUGCUGCCACUACGCCGCUGCCGCCCUCGUCGUAGCCGCCCGGCCAUGCCCGCCGUCGCUAGCCGGCGCCGUCCGCGCGCGCGACGCCGCACCCGGCGCUGCUCGCUGCUCCCCGCGCUGAUGCUUUGCUUGCUGUCGCACUCGCGCUGCUUCUUUCCUUGUCAGCGCUGCUCUGCCUAUACUACUGCUAGUACUGUAGCAGCGCUAGCUACUGCUUUUUAAUUUCUACAUCAAGUAACCCCCCUGGACUGCCCCUAAACUGCGGCUAAACAACUACUAACAGGGCAAAAGAAAAUAUGAGUAGAAAGUAUACUUGACAAACUCCAUUUUAUCCCACUGGACCAAACCCUUUUGAUGCAUAGAUUAAAUCCUAUGAAAAUCGCAAAAGGCUAUGUUCUGUUAACAGAAAAACUGAAAACAGCUUUAUUUCCGUAGCUACUUUAGAGCUGUUGAUGAUCAAGCUAAUGAACCCUAAUAUGGAUGUAAUUGGUACUAACAUGUAGAUCACAGCAAAAUGCUUAAAAUUGAUAUAAGGCACAAAAUCAUAGGAGGUAGAGAUCCAUAGUUGUAGCCUUUUGAAAACAGCCAAGUGAUGUUUAAAACUGUCAAAUUCUCAGACUUAGCAAAAUUUCAGGGAUUUUCAGAAUAUUGCUAAAACUUUGAUAAAUCAUAGAAAAUAAUCCGCAACUCGGAUAAAAAAGUUUUAUACAUGAAAGUUGCUCAGAACGACGAGACGAAUCCGAAUACGCGGUCCCUUCGUAUGUCGCAUGCCCCUAGCAUAGCGAACAUGCAACCUUUCCACUCCGUUUCAUUUGUCCGAAAAUGCCAGACUUCGGGAAAACUUUCCCGGAUGCUAACCCCUUCGCCGAUAUCGUGUAGUACCGCGUUAGGACACAUCUAGCGCCGCGUUUCGUCAUGUCAUGCAUAGUAUUGCAUCUGUGUGCCUUAUAUUUACAGUUUCUUCCCCCUCUUCUUCUCUCUGAUGCUGCCCCAAUGAUCGACUACGUCGACGACGACCCUUCUUCCCUUUCAGCGGAGCUUCCAGGCAAGCCCCCCCUUUGAUCAUCCCGAUAUCUCACAUUCCAUUCUCUCAUGCUUGCAUUAGAUUUUGCUACUGUUAUUGAUUGCUCCUAUUCUGAUGCAUAGCCUGCUUUUGUAACCUGCUCAUUGUACCUUACCUGCUUAUCCUAACCUGCUUAGUAUAGGUUGGUUAGAGAUCCAUCAGUGACCCCCACCUUGUCCUUGUUGCCCCUGCUUCAUCAUUGAUGACUCGAUCAACGUGAUCGACGACCAGAGCCCGACACCUCACAUCACAUCACGCCCCUUUAGUUGCUCGACUCUGCAGAGCUACUAUCGAGUGCCGAGGGUGAUCCCUCAUAACGCACUCCUGAUGAUAAUUCUGUAGCGUAGCUAUUCAUUCGUGGUCAUCGAGGGUGAUUUCCUCCUUAAGCACUUCCGAUACGGCUCUGUCGUGCAACAUCUCAAGUGUGAACCUCAAGGGUGGUUCCUCUUACGUUCACCUUGAUGAUUACAUCGAGUGGAAUCCACUGGGGGUGAUUCCUUGGGUUUUCCCCUUGAUGUCUGGACACACGGUUACCUUGACUUUACUUGAGACCUUUGGGAAAGUCGGGCGGGCCCGGAGAGCACCCGCAAGAUAGUUACGAGGCACGGCCGGGCCGGCAGGCCGCCCCCGAGUGGGCUGGGCUAGCCCUUGCCGUAUUUCCUCGAGACGAGGCGACGGGGUCACAUUAACGUGAGUCUCUGCUCGUCUCCGCAAACUAAUAAUACACUAUGGUUUGGGUAUUUGUUUUGAAUUGGCCUUUGGCCUUUACGCACCAACCAUCACGCGAGAAUAGUUAUGGGCCUCAACGUCGCAGUAUCAGCCGAAGCUUUGUCAGACGUCCAGUUCAGCAUUGCGGCACGGCUGGGCCGGCACCAUCCUGUAGUGGUGGAGCCUGGACCCGCCCUACACGUAACGACCCGGAGUGCAACGGGCGAUGUGCCCAGACCCCGAAGUGCUUAGGAUGUAGACCGGGGGGACCUCUCCACUGAGCCUAGGUAGGGUUACGACGUGUUGAUCUUCCGAGGCCGGGCAUUGACCCAGAAAAGUGUGUCCGGUCAGAGUAAUCAAGCGUGUUGGAAAACGUGGUGCACCCUUGCAGGGAAGAUUAUCUAUUAAUAGCCGUGUCCACGGUAACGGACGUUCGGACUUAUAUUUACAACUACAAAUGGAUACUUUGGAUAUGUGGCUCCGGGAUUGCUUUCUCGCAGGGAGUCGAGGAAGGAUCUCUGGGCAUUAAUGUUACAACAUGCUUGUUAAUUAAACUGCUAUUCUUUACUCUUCUACAUGCUGCAAGAUGCUUCGAGCGGCUUGAAGAUGCUAGUCUCCGAUAGGCUAGGCCUUCCCCUCUAUUCUCGCAUUCUGCAGUUCAGUCCACAGAUACAACCCUUCCAUUUGAUACCAAUGCAUACUUAGUAUAGAUCUGAUGCUUGCGAGUACUUUGGAUGAGUACUCACGGUUGCUUUGCUACCCCUUUUCCCCUUUCUUCCUUAUUUCCGGUUGUUGCAACCAGAUGGUGGAUCCUUGGAGCCAGAUGCCACCGCCGAUGGAUACUACUACAUGGAGGCCGCCGAAGAUCAGGAGUAGUUAGGAGGUCCCAGGCAGGAGGCCUUGCCUCUUCGAUCGUUGCUUCUUUUGUGCUUGCCUUCUUAAGGCAGUCUUGUCUAACUUAUGUCUGUACUCAGAUAUUGUUGCUUCCCUGACUCUUGUGUAUCGAGCUUGUAUUCGAGCCCUCGGGGCCCCUGGCUUGUAAUAUGAAGCUUGUAUUAUUUUACUUGUGUCUAGAGUUGUGUUGUGAUAUCUUCCCAUGAGUCCCUGAUCUUGAUCGUACACAUUUGCGUGUAUGAUUAGUGUACGGUUGAA
rnacentral:lncRNA from 1 species